rnacentral:lncRNA from 1 species
GUAUAGGUUCUGAAUAUUCAUUAGAAGGUGGAAGGAUAUAGUUUUGGGUGAUUUGGUCCUGGAGAAGAUUUGAGAAGAUUUUUGGGGGUAUUUUAUCCCGGAUCUUAUCACUGCAACUCUCGGACACCUAAGAAGGAGGUCGGCAAACCAUGGAACUACUACGAACGUAGAUCUGUCGAGGCCGCACCUUAGUCGACACCUUGCUGACACGGACAUAAUAUUGACUAACGACAUACGUCUCUUCGAGAAUUGGGCGCCGAGAAAUCCGCCGCACUGCGGUACAUCGGAGAAGGGAGGUGUUGAAACAGGUGGAUCCAACUCACUUGACUCACUUCAAGAGACAUGUGCGACAAAGCUGCUGAAACCAAGCAAGGCCUCUGCACAAAUUUGUACCUCAACCGUCCCGGCAAAGAGGCUACUUGAGGGAUUGACAACUUUAGUUUGCGGGUGAUGCUAUGAUUGCGGACCUGACCGAGAAGAUUAGUGAUCAUGGCUGUCCAAAUUGUGAUGAAAAGUUAUCAAAAGGUAAGUAAGUGAAAUAAAUUAGUUUGAAA